UACGGGGGGGGCAAGCGUUGUUCGGAAUUAUUGGGCGUAAAGAGCGUGUAGGCGGCUUGGUAGGUCCGCUGUGAAAACUCAAGGCUCAACCUCGAGAUGUCGGCGGAAACCACUUGGCUAGAGUCCGGAAGAGGAGAGUGGAAUUCCCGGUGUAGCGGUGAAAUGCGCAGAUAUCGGGAGGAACACCGGUGGCGAAGGCGGUUCUCUGGGCCUUACCUGACGCUGAGGAGCGAAAGCGUGGGGAGCGAACAGG
rnacentral:rRNA from 1 species